CGGAGUAUAGCUCAGCCUGGUAGAGCGCUACGUUCGGGACGUAGAGGCCGUGGGUUCGAAUCCCGCUACUCCGACCA
rnacentral:tRNA from 1 species